rnacentral:lncRNA from 1 species
AUGCCAUCAACAGUGCUAUUUUCUAGCUGGCGUUCUUACAAUUAUUGGCCAAUUUUCCUAGGCUGCAUUAUGAAGAUGACCUUUACAAGGCCAAAGGACUUCUCUCAGUCCCUGCUGAAGUCCUGGCAACUACACGAUGCUGUUUUGUCACUGCAUUUCAGCGAGAAUGGAGGCAACCCUGGAUGCCACAGGAAAGAGUUCCUGUGUUAUGAAACCUUUGUAUUCAUGAAAAAUCAUGUUUUUGAUGCAUGUUUAAUGCCAUGGGAAAAUGCUCAUAAUAAGUCAAGUAAAAAAAUGUUUACAAAUUGUUUACAGCACAAGAUUUAGGUUUUUUGUGAAAUGUAUAUUUAUUUAAUUGUAUAAAAAGUAGACUGAAAAGAAACAUACUGGAAUUUUAGGAGUGGUUAUCUCUGUAGAUAGGAUUAAAAUAAUUUUAGUUUUCUUCUUUAUACUUUCUUUAUUUCCUAGAUUUUCUACAGUACACAUAAACUGCCCCUGCUAUCUGG